UACGGAGGGAGCUAGCGUUGUUCGGAAUUACUGGGCGUAAAGCGCGCGUAGGCGGCUUUGUAAGUUAGAGGUGAAAGCCCGGGGCUCAACCCCGGAAUUGCCUUUAAGACUGCAUCGCUUGAAUCCGGGAGAGGUGAGUGGAAUUCCGAGUGUAGAGGUGAAAUUCGUAGAUAUUCGGAAGAACACCAGUGGCGAAGGCGGCUCACUGGACCGGCAUUGACGCUGAGGAGCGAAAGCAUGGGUAGCGAACAGG
rnacentral:rRNA from 1 species